GAUGAAGAACGUAGCGAAAUGCGAUACUUGGUGUGAAUUGCAGAAUCCCGUGAACCAUCGAGUCUUUGAACGCAAGUUGCGCCCGAAGCCAUUAGGCCGAGGGCACGCCUGCCUGGGUGUCACACGUCGUUGCCCCCCCAUCUACUCCUUCGGGAUUGCGGGGGGCGGAUGAUGGCCUCCCGUGCGCCUCGUCGCGCGGUUGGCAUAAAUGCCAAGUCCUCGGCGACGCACGCCACGACAAUCGGUGGUUGCGAAACCUCGGUUGCCCGUCGUGUGCGGUCGUCGCGCAUCGAGGGCUCGAAAAAAUUACCGGGCUCCGGCUCGGCUUUCAACGCGACCCCAGGUCAGGCGGGGUUACCCGCUGAAUUUAAGCAUAUCAAUAAGCGGAGGA
rnacentral:misc_RNA from 1 species